UGGGGAAGCGAUAGAGAAAGCUUGCUUUUUCUAGGCGUCGACCGGCGCACGGGUGAGUAACGCGUAUCCAACCUGCCCAUCACUUGGGGAUAACCUUGCGAAAGUAAGACUAAUACCCAAUGAUAUCUCAAGAAGACAUCUGAAUGAGAUUAAAGAUUUAUCGGUGAUGGAUGGGGAUGCGUCUGAUUAGCUUGUUGGCGGGGUAACGGCCCACCAAGGCGACGAUCAGUAGGGGUUCUGAGAGGAAGGUCCCCCACAUUGGAACUGAGACACGGUCCAAACUCCUACGGGAGGCAGCAGUGAGGAAUAUUGGUCAAUGGGCGAGAGCCUGAACCAGCCAAGUAGCGUGCAGGAAGACGGCCCUAUGGGUUGUAAACUGCUUUUAUAAGGGAAUAAGUGAGUCUCGUGAGACUUUUUGCAUGUACCUUAUGAAUAAGGACCGGCUAAUUCCGUGCCAGCAGCCGCGGUAAUACGGAAGGUCCGGGCGCUAUCCGGAUUUAUUGGGUUUAAAGGGAGCGUAGGCCGGAGAUUAGGCGUGUUGUGAAAUGUAGAUGCUCAACAUCUGCACUGCAGCGCGAACUGAUUUCCUUGAGUACGCACAAAGUGGGCGGAAUUCGUGGUGUAGCGGUGAAAUGCUUAGAUAUCACGAAGAACUCCGAUUGCGAAGGCAGCUCACUGGAGCGCAACUGACGCUGAAGCUCGAAAGUGCGGGUAUCGAACAGGAUUAGAUACCCUGGUAGUCCGCACGGUAAACGAUGGAUGCCCGCUGUUGGUCUGAAUAGGUCAGCGGCCAAGCGAAAGCAUUAAGCAUCCCACCUGGGGAGUACGCCGGCAACGGUGCAACUC
rnacentral:rRNA from 1 species